rnacentral:tRNA from 1 species
AGGGGCACAUGUUCCAAGGUGGCGAUGGGGUCUCCAAAACCCCGUGUGGUGGGUUCGAUUCCCACUGCCUCUGCCA